rnacentral:tRNA from 1 species
GGACGUAAGUUGUUUAUUAUUAAGGGCUUGCGGCAGUCUCGAAAACUGUUUUAGUCGUUAGGCUAACGGGGGUUCGAAUCCCCCCCUCUCCG